UACGUAGGGUGCGAGCGUUAAUCGGAAUUACUGGGCGUAAAGCGUGCGCAGGCGGUUAUGUAAGACAGGUGUGAAAUCCCCGGGCUUAACCUGGGAACUGCAUUUGUGACUGCAUAGCUAGAGUACGGUAGAGGGGGAUGGAAUUCCGCGUGUAGCAGUGAAAUGCGUAGAUAUGCGGAGGAACACCGAUGGCGAAGGCAAGCCCCUGGGCCUGCACUGACGCUCAUGCACGAAAGCGUGGGGAGCAAACAGG
rnacentral:rRNA from 1 species